ACCGGGGACCUCCUGAGAUAAAAAGAUCCGAACUAGGUCAGGACUGGAAAGUAGCAGCCUUAAGGAUUGUAUUUAUGUCUGGAGACAAUCUCCGGUUUU
rnacentral:SRP_RNA from 1 species